rnacentral:rRNA from 1 species
ACGAACCGUGCAAACGUUAUUCGGAAUCACUGGGCAUAAAGGGCGCGUAGGCGGCUUCAUAAGUCAGGGGUGAAAUCCGGCAGCUUAACUGUCGCAGUGCCUUUGAUACUGUGGAGCUCGAGGGAGGUAGGGGUCUGUGGAACUUCCGGUGGAGCGGUGAAAUGCGUUGAUAUCGGAAGGAACGCCGGUGGCGAAAGCGACGGACUGGAUCUCUUCUGACGCUGAGGCGCGAAAGCCAGGGGAGCAAACGGG